UGCAACGAAGAUUUGUGCGCGCUCUACUAUGACAAUGACUUGCGAUGUGCAGGCCCUGGUAUCAUUCCUACCCAGUGCUCUGUGGAUGCAUUCAGAAAAUUUCUGCUGAAGAAUGUUAAUUGGGACGAAAUAGGACAAGAUGAAAAAAUAUUUGAAUCACCAGUUAAAGGACUGAGAAUGAAACUCAAACAAAUCAAAUCACCAGGAAUGACCAUAAAAUUAGUGAAUAUAGAAAGAUAUGACGCUAUGAAGCCUUA